GCCGGUGUGGUGGAAUUGGUAGACACGAGGGACUUAAAAUCCCUUUCCUGCGAAGGAGUGCCGGUUCGAUUCCGGCCGCCGGUACCA
rnacentral:tRNA from 4 species